rnacentral:rRNA from 1 species
AGUGAACGCUGGCGGUAGGCCUAACACAUGCAAGUCGAACGGCAGCACAGUAAGAGCUUGCUCUUACGGGUGGCGAGUGGCGGACGGGUGAGGAAUACAUCGGAAUCUACUUUUUCGUGGGGGAUAACGUAGGGAAACUUACGCUAAUACCGCAUACGCCCUACGGUUGAAAGCAGGGGAUCUUCGGACCUUGCGCGAUUGAAUUAGCCGAUGUCGGAUUAGCUAGUUGGGGGGGUAAAGGCCAACCCAGGCGACGAUCCGUAGCCGGUCUGAGAGGAGGAUAGGCCACACGGGAGCGGAGACACGGACAAGAGGCCGAAGGGAGGCAGCAGAGGGGAAUAUUAGACAAUGGGCGGAAACAUUGUCCAGCCAUACGACGUGUGUGAAGGAGGCGUUCGGGGUGGAAAGACCGUUUGUUGGGAGAGAAAAGCAUCAGGUUAAUACCCAGCUGUUCUGACGGUACCCAAAAAAGAAGCACCGGCUAACUUCGUG